rnacentral:rRNA from 1 species
CCUACGGGUGGCAGCAGUGAGGAAUAUUGGUCAAUGGACGAGAGUCUGAACCAGCCAAGUAGCGUGAAGGAUGACUGCCCUAUGGUUUGUAAACUUCUUUUAUAUGGGAAUAAAAUGUUCCACGUGUGGGAUUUUGUAUGUACCAUAUGAAUAAGCAUCGGCUAACUCCGUGCCAGCAGCCGCGGUAAUACGGAGGAUCCGAGCGUUAUCCGGAUUUAUUGGGGUUAAAGGGAGCGUAGGUGGCUUGUUAAGUCAGUUGUGAAAGUUUGCGGCUCAACCGUAAAAUUGCAGUUGAAACUGGCAGGCUGGAGUGCAGUAGAGGUAGGCGGAAUGCGUGGUGUAGCGGUGAAAUGCGUAGAUAUCACGAAGAACUCCGAUGGCGAAGGCAGCUUACUGGACUGUAACUGACACUGAGGCUCGAAAGUGUGGGGAUCAAACAGGAUUAGAUACCCGAGUAGUC